UAGCAGCAGAAGACCCAAGUUAGAAAUCCCUGGAAUCAAGAACUAUAUAGAAAAAUGCAAAAAUUUUAAAAUAAAAAACUUCUUAUUCUCAGUUUCACUCCCCAAAAGGUGAAUCUUCCUUGCAGAGAGCUGAGACCCACUGCACACAUUUGGGCAGGCCCCGAACGUAAUGCAGCUCCACCGUUACUGCUAAUAUAAGUAAUGUUUGUAAAGUUCUUACCUACUAAACAAUUUAG